rnacentral:lncRNA from 1 species
UUUGGCUGAAGAUACUAAAAUGGCUAAUACGACGAGCAAAUGCCUCAUGAUAUUUACUGCAGCAGGGCGAGCCUGUGUAUUUAGUCGAAGCAAAUUCGCUGUUUCUCGUCGGAAGGGUAAGCAUGGGGUCCAAGGUGAAUCCCGGCAAGUUUUUCCAGCACAUUGAGACUACCUGCACACAUUUUCUGUCGACACGACAGAAUCCAGUUUGGCUCCGUCAGAGAGAUGUUGUCCCCGCGGUUCACUUCUGGAGGGACCCUCUGACUAACACUCGGGUAGGAAAAGGCCACUGCAGUCCGGUCUAGAGAGUUUCGCGAACCCUCCGUUCGACGCAGACCCUUCCAAUUGUUCUGGCCGACCGUGCAGAAAGUUUCAGGAGUAACCCGUCAUACAACUCUUCUGCUCGACGGGGUAGGAGGCGGUGUUCUAGUUGCAAAAAAGUUAGCCUUUACGAACUACUGGUGGUUCACGUGACGGCAGAAGCUCGACGCCUCACGCCGCUGCCAUCAGCAGUCAUCCAGCAAAUGAGGGGUUAUGCUUCCACGCAGUUGUAAGCCAAAUAUUUGACCAUUGCAUCUGUUCUGGGCCAGUACGUGUUUGAGUGUUAAAGGCGUCUUUUACCUGCCCCCGAGGAAACCAGUAUGUGCAACGAAAUUCGCUGGUUCACUGAGAAACAGCGGUGCUGUGAGCGAAUUAAAACCGUGGUACGCUACUGUACAGUUUUUAAACGGACGCGAAAACGAUCGGUCACAAUGCAGGGGCAACGUGCUGGAAUCGCACGCACGCAGACAGGAUACGCCUCUGUAAGUGCUUCGCCUCGUUCUGGAAAGGAUUUGAGUGAUUGGGCGUCAGAUAAGCGCGA